rnacentral:lncRNA from 1 species
CGCCAGUAGAACUGGGCCUGAUGCACUUGCCCAGCCCAGAUGAAAGUCUUUUUAACCCAAAACAAAUAAACAAAAAAAAAUUUGGACGCACAUGUGAGGAAGGGAGUCCUCUACUCGAACGGAAUCCGACUUUAGGUCGAAUUCUGGUCACGAUUGAACCUAUUUAGGGCCCUUCCUGAUCAUCUUACCGGAGCUCACCGUUGGAGGAUUUGUUCGAAUCCCUUUUCAAAUGUUGAUUGUCAUUUGCACCAUCCCCGCAGCCGAAUGCCGCCGGGAACCAAGUAAGGACCCGGCUCCUUCGAUCUACCUUUCUUCUGAACUCCUUGGAGCUUUGAUUCUGACCGGCGAUCACCGAAUUUUUGGUAAAAAGGGAAUCUCCUUCUCGGAUACUGUCAGAAUUAAUCACCCUCGAUCUCUAUCGAACCAACUGUAUUCUAGUAUGAGCAUGAUCAGAUAAUUUUUAUGUUGAUCGGAGGGGUAUCGAACACUCCCACUAAGUAAGCC